UACAGAGGUCUCGAGCGUUAGGCGGAAUCACUGGGCUUAAAGCGCGUGUAGGUGGUGGGCCAAGUCUGUGGUGAAAUCGCCCGGCUCAACUGGGCGAGGUCCGUGGAAACUGGUCGACUGGAGGACGGUAGAGGCGAGUGGAAUUCCCGGUGUAGUGGUGAAAUGCGUAGAGAUCGGGAGGAACACCAGUGGCGAAGGCGGCUCGCUGGGCCGGUCCUGACACUGAGACGCGAAGGCGUGGGGAGCGAACGGG
rnacentral:rRNA from 1 species